rnacentral:lncRNA from 1 species
AUUUCUACCUACAAGCAGAAGCAUGACACCUAGUCUCAGGGAGUGACAGGAAAACCGGGCGGUUAGGGCUUCUGGCCCCCUUCUGUCCUGGAAUUCCCUGCCUUCUGGGCCUCCCCAGCUGUGGACCCUCAGAAAGAAUCUUGUGCAUAGGCUUGUAGCUCUUCCUUUCUCCUGCACACAACUGUUUUCAGUGAGCCUCUGGUUAGUCAGUAUCUUCCAACCUCCUUCUCAACGCCAUUCUUUUUUUUUUUUUUUUUGAGAGGGAGUCUCGCUCUGUUGCCCAGGCUGUAGUGCAGUGGUGUGAUCUCGGCUUACCGCAACCUCCGCCUCCUGGGUUCCAGCGAUUCUCCUGCCUCAGCCCCCGAGUAGCUGGGAUUACAGGCACCUGCCAGCCUGCCCAGCUAAUUUUUGUAUUUUUAGUAGAGACUGGAUUUCACCAUGUUUGCCAGGCUGGUUUCAAACUCAUGACCUCAGGACUUACAGAGCAGGAGCUCCCUAAGACGAUGUCCUGGGCCCCACCAGUGGUACAUCAUAGCCAGCCCACGCCGACCUGGGAGAGCUGACUGUCAGCAUCUCUUCCCAACUUCACUUUCAGGGACAUCUGGUUGGUAGCUUGAAUUCAGCCGUGGUGGGAGGAUUUACACCAUGGCAAUUGACAAACGCUGCUAAUCACACUUGUCCCCACAGAGCCAGUUUGUUAAAUAUUUGCCAACAUAACCCUGGCUUCACCUUACCCUGGUCAACCAGACCUGCCCAGGUGUUGGCUAAUAAUCCUUUGUGUUGGUAUCAGUCUCUCCCAUGUGGCAUUCCUGUGUCCACCUCCCCAGCAGGUCACCCUGGCUCUGGGGGACUGAGCCAGCCAGAAGGUGGCAAUUGAGGUCAGACCAGCAUCCCUGAAUUGGGAAGGACAAGAGGAUUUGCAUGGAGCAUGGAUAGCUUCUGUGACAGACAUCACAUGUGCGUGCACACACACACACACCUGGUUUACUUUAUGUUUUAAUUAUUUUUAAAAAAUUGAGACAAGAUCUUGCUCUAUUGCCCAGGCUGGAGCACAGUGGUGCAAACAUGGCUCACUGCAGCCUCAACCUCCUGGGUUCAAACAAUCCUCCCGCCUCAGCCUCCCAAGUAGCUGGGACCACAGGCAUGUGCCACCAUGCCCAGCCAAUUUUUUUUUUCUUUGAGAUGAAGUCUCGCUCUGUUGCCCAGGCUGGAGUGCAAUGGCGCAAUCUCAACUCACUGCAAUCUCUGCCUCCCAGGUUCAAGCGAUUCCCCUGCCUCAGUAUCCCAAGAAGCUGGGAUUACAGGCAUGUGCCACCAUGCCCGGCUAAUUUUUUUCACAUUUUUAGUAGAGACGGGGUUUCACCAUGUUGGCCAGGCUGGUCUUGAACUCCUGAACUCAGGUGAUCCGCCCGCCUUGGCCUCCCAAAGUGCUGGGAUUACAGGCGUGAGCCACCGUGCCUGGCCCCAACCAAAUUUUUAAUUUUUGGUAGAGAUAGGAUCUCACUAUGUUGCCCAAGCUGAUCUCAAACUCCUGGGCUCAAGCGAUUCUCCCACCUCAGCCUCCCAAAGUGCUGGGAUUAUAGCUGUGAGCCACCAGAACUGGCCUGGUUUCCUUUAAUACUUGUGGGUUUAUUUUAAUGGUUAUGGGGGAAAACACAGCUAGUGCACUAAAUCUGUGAUUUUUUAUUUAUUUAUUUUUUUGAGAUGACAUCUCCCUCUGUCACCCAGGCUGGAGUGCAUAGCACAGUCUCGGCUCACUGCAACUUCUGCCUCCUUGUUUCAAGCGAUUCCCCUGCCUCGGCCCCCAAGUAGCUGGGACUACAUGCGCCUGCCACCAUGCCCAGCUAAUUUUUGUAUUUUUAGUAGAGAGGAAGGUUUCACCAUGUUGGCCAGGCUGAUCUCGAACUUCUCACCUCAGGUGAUCCACCCAUCUUGGCCUCCCCAAGUGCUGGGAUUACAGGUGUGAGACACCGUGCCUGGCCCUAAAUCUGUGAUUUUGUGGCUAUUUUUGGAUGAAGUCCAUUUUGACAAAACCGUUAAGUGUACAAUAAAUUGGGUGGUGGGAAGAAAUUGUAAAAAAAAAAAUAUAUAUAUAUAUAUAAUAUAUAUUUUUAUUUUUAAAUACU